rnacentral:rRNA from 1 species
AACCACCGGCUAACUCUGUGCCAGCAGCCGCGGUAAUACAGAGGGUGCGAGCGUUAAUCGGAUUUACUGGGCGUAAAGCGUGCGUAGGCGGCUUUUUAAGUCGGAUGUGAAAUCCCCGAGCUUAACUUGGGAAUUGCAUUCGAUACUGGGAAGCUAGAGUAUGGGAGAGGAUGGUAGAAUUCCAGGUGUAGCGGUGAAAUGCGUAGAGAUCUGGAGGAAUACCGAUGGCGAAGGCAGCCAUCUGGCCUAAUACUGACGCUAGAGGUACGAAACGCAUGGGGGAGGCAAACGAGGAUUAGGAUACCCUAGGUUAGUCCAAUGCCGUUAAAACGAAUGUCCUACUUAGCACGUCUGGCGGCCCUUUGAAGGCUUCUAGUGGCUGCAGCUAACGGCGAUAAAGUAGACCGCCUGGGGGAGUACGGUCGCAAGACUAAAACUCAAAUGAAUUGACGGGGGCCCGCACAAGCGGUGGAGCA